UACGUAGGGGGCAAGCGUUGUCCGGAUUUAUUGGGCGUAAAGAGCUUGUAGGCGGUUUGUCGCGUCUGCUGUGAAAAUCCGGGGCUCAACCCCGGACUUGCAGUGGGUACGGGCAGACUAGAGUGUGGUAGGGGAGACUGGAAUUCCUGGUGUAGCGGUGAAAUGCGCAGAUAUCAGGAGGAACACCAAUUGCGAAGGCAGCUCGCUGGGACGUUACUGACGCUGGAGACGCGAAAGCGUGGGGAGCAAACAGG
rnacentral:rRNA from 1 species